GGGUUGCGAAGCGUGGGUCAGCCAAGGCAUGUUAAUCUGUUUAGCAUGUGCGCCGCGCGGAGGAGCCAGACCACCGGGGCGCAGGAGGCGCGGCCGCAGCCGCGCUGCUCCGGGGGAGUUAAUAAAGAGCUUAAGCAUCCCGUCCUGAUAGACAGAGGGCCCCAGGGCUGUCAGACCCUGAAGGGUUAGGAAGUGAGCGCUGCCUCGCCUACCCGUGCUAAGUACGAGCUGUCGCUGAUCAAGGGCCCCCCGGCCGAAGGGCAACGGACGCGCGGUCCUCCGCGAGCGGCGACGGGUCCCUGCACCCCCCUCCCAGACGCGGCGCCACCGAGAGACAAACUACCAGCUCCCCCUUCAUUUCAUGGGGCUGAUGUUGGGAAAACACGGCUGCGCCCCUGGCCGAAGGAGAAAACAAGACCCAAACUUGGUGACCUGCCCUCUGUUCCUUGGCGAUGACAACUUAAAAGGUGAGGUUAAUGCUUGAACUGAAUACGGAGAAACUCUUCCAAAUCCUGGACUCUCUAAGUUUGCAUAUUAGUAUGCCUACAAUUUCUGCAAGUGGAAAAUAUUUAAAAUUUCUAAAACAAGAAAAAUGUCUUUUUCUUUAUUUAAAAUUUUUACAAUUUAUUUUACUUUUUUUCUUUGAUUUAUAAUAAAAUGUUUAAGAAUGGGGGGGGGGGAUGUCCUGGGACUGUUCACUGUGCCUCUGUAUUGGACUCUUUCACAAACCCACAUGGAACAUAAUCUCUGUUCUUGUAGGUCACAGUCUCAGUUCACAGUAGUAUGAGUAUUUUGUAAUGAGCCUGAUCACAAAUCAUCCUCCUCCCCCUUUUCAGUUGUUCACAGAGAAAAACUAGUGACUAGGGAUAAGACCAAUAGGUGAACUAUUAGUUUGUUUGUUUGUUUGUUUUUAAGCCUUAAAAAUUUGAGCAGAAACUCAAAUUCUUAGCUCCCUGCAUGGAAGAGUUUUGCACUGAGUUACCCCCAUACCACGUAGGCACCUAGGUGUUUUAGGCAUGUUGUGAAUAAACUGCCACACUAGAAAGAUAUUUUCAAGAAGCAACUGCUGUUUAGUUUGCAGACAAUUCAGAUUUUUUUUUAAUGGAGAAAUGAAAAUAUUAUCCUCCUAGCCUUCCUCCCACCCCAUUGUUUCCUGCUGAAAUGGCUUGUUCCUCUUGUUGUGUGAGUGUAUGUUUCUGCUGUUAGAGGCAGCUUAGUGUUGGGAAUUCUUUCAUUUGUUCCUUAUAUUUAAAUCAGGAAUAAAGGGAUUUGCAAUGUAGCAGGUGCUCAAUAAAUACUGCGGACUAAUCCCACUUUGCAAAGCUUAGAGGUUAAAGAGAUGAUCGGUAGAUAAGUAACUAGAGAAAAGAAAGAGAGCAAGAGACUAGAAGAGUGGAUUUAAAAGACCAUUGGUUUGUUUAUUUUAGAAGGGAGGAGAAAAUUAUCAGUCCAAAUACACAUCUGACUAAAGAAAAACACAAAGCCACUUCUUUUCCUAUUAUUUCUAGAAAGAGUUAAAGAACAAGUUAUUUCAUAGACAGGGUCAGAAUUUUGAAGAAAGAUGAGUUUUCACAUGUGGCCACAUUUUUCUCUUAACUAAGCACCUGGGUAUAUUCCAAAGUUGAGAAGUUUUUCUUUUUACUUUCUAGAAGAAUAGGAUGUGAAAGAGAAGCCAGAAAGGAAUCAGCAUUUUAUAUGUGUGCAGGUUUUAUGUCUUCCAAAACAUUUUCACAUAAAUAGGCUUAUUGACUCUUGAAACCCAUCUCUGCAUUCCGAAAAACUAUAAAGGAGUGUGAAAAUUGAUCUAACGUUCAUUUCUAACUGAGUCGUUUUUUCUUCUGUGGCACACUUUGGAGAUGUUGGGCGGGGGUGAUUUUCCCCCCUCUUCACAGUCAGUCAUUUUUAUAGGACAUAAUCUUGUCACAGUCAUUUUCAAAUAUAUAAAACUUUCGAAUAAAAACAGAAAUAGGAAAACAAGUUACUUUUCAUUGAUAACAAUCCUUCAUUAUUGACUUAUCAGAAAAUGUCUGAAAAUAUCUGCCCCAUAUUAGAAGAAAUUCCUAAGCAGUUGUUCCAAGACACAUCUGCUUUCUGCCAUAAAAUAUUGCCCCCCCCCCCUUCUUUGCCAGUUCAGUUAUUGAUCAGAGUUGCAGGAGAGAAUCUGUAGUCUGUUUCUGUCUCCCUCUGGGACAGACAGACCCGGGCAAGGCCCAUGGCCUCAGAUUCAUCCUCUACCACUCAGACCUGCCUGAUCCUGUCCUGGUGCUCAGGGGACUUACUGGACCUGUGGGUGCAUUACACAGACUUACAUUCUGCUUAAUGGACUAGAUAGAGUCUCCUUAAUGGUAGCAUCCUACGCACAGGGAAAUAGCCUAUCUUGAAAAAGAGAGUCACCCUCACUUUGAGAUUAGAAAAAUAUCCUUUCAGACCUUCUAAUUUCAAAUUCGGAAUUAGAAGUUUCUAAGUUCUCUAAAUAAAGCUUCUAAUUUUAACAGACUGCUUUUCUUCCUGAAGUGGAAUUUUGUUGUCUUUUACAGUCGAGAAUGUAAAAGAAAAAAUGUUUUUUAAAAAACACUUUCUCUAGAAAAUCAACACGAUCUUGCAUCAAGCACUGUCUCUAGGGAAAAAAAAUCACUGCUUACUCAUUCCUUUGCAGUCUACAGCUCACAGCUGGUCAGGUGCAGUCCCUGCCUGGAUGUCCUCAUAAGGGACAUCCAGCACCUGCCCAAGGAGGCUGGGCUUCAGUGAGGCUUCUGAUGGCGACAGGCAGGGAUGGCUGUUCACAUCAAGGGAAAGAUGUGAUUCCAGCAGGUGGUCUGGUCUGGAAUUCCCUCCCCACCCAUGAAGCAUUUUAGGAAGACCUCUGGCCAUUCCAAGUGGGAAUGCUUCUCAGGAGGCUCCAAUGCAGAGGCUCCUGUGCAGGAGCUGAAACAACCCACGUAAGCCACAUCAGAUGCAGCUGUUUAAAGAUGGUGAUAUAUUUGAGGGGUGCACAUUCUCAUAAAAAAAUGAUUUGCUUGCUCAUUAAAUGUUAAAUUAGUUGAUCUGACUCUUACAUAUUCUUCCCUUUUCUACAUGAGAAGGAUGUGGCCUUACGUCUGGUUAUAAAGACCUUAGCUGUUUAGCAAAAAGUUCUGCCAGUAUGGCAGAUCUGGACAAUUAAAAAUCAGUGAGAGAAGCAGAGGAAAUGGACUAAUAAUACACAAGUGAAAAGGUAAGCUCUCUGUGUGUGUGUGUGUGUGUGUGUGUG
ensembl:lncRNA